UAAUACAUGCAAGUCGAGCGAACGGACGAGAAGCUUGCUUCUCUGAUGUUAGCGGCGGACGGGUGAGUAACACGUGGAUAACCUACCUAUAAGACUGGGAUAACUUCGGGAAACCGGAGCUAAUACCGGAUAAUAUUUUGAACCGCAUGGUUCAAAAGUGAAAGACGGUCUUGCUGUCACUUAUAGAUGGAUCCGCGCUGCAUUAGCUGGUUGGUAAGGUAACGGCUUACCAAGGCAACGAUGCAUAGCCGACCUGAGAGGGUGAUCGGCCACACUGGAACUGAGACACGGUCCAGACUCCUACGGGAGGCAGCAGUAGGGAAUCUUCCGCAAUGGGCGAAAGCCUGACGGAGCAACGCCGCGUGAGUGAUGAAGGUCUUCGGAUCGUAAAACUCUGUUAUUAGGGAAGAACAUAUGUGUAAGUAACUGUGCACAUCUUGACGGUACCUAAUCAGAAAGCCACGGCUAACUACGUGCCAGCAGCCGCGGUAAUACGUAGGUGGCAAGCGUUAUCCGGAAUUAUUGGGCGUAAAGCGCGCGUAGGCGGUUUUUUAAGUCUGAUGUGAAAGCCCACGGCUCAACCGUGGAGGGUCAUUGGAAACUGGAAAACUUGAGUGCAGAAGAGGAAAGUGGAAUUCCAUGUGUAGCGGUGAAAUGCGCAGAGAUAUGGAGGAACACCAGUGGCGAAGGCGACUUUCUGGUCUGUAACUGACGCUGAUGUGCGAAAGCGUGGGGAUCAAACAGGAUUA
rnacentral:rRNA from 1 species